rnacentral:rRNA from 1 species
AUAAGCGGCGGAAACGCCGUCUAAUACCGCGUGACAACCCGAGGGGGCAUCCCCUUGGGUUCAAAGGAGAGAUCCGGUACCGGCUGGGCAUGCGGCGCAUUAGCUAGUUGGCGGGGCAACGGCCCACCAAGGCGACGAUGCGUAGGGGUUCUGAGAGGAAGGUCCCCCACACUGGAACUGAGACACGGUCCAGACUCCUACGGGAGGCAGCAGUGAGGAAUAUUGGUCAAUGGGCGCAAGCCUGAACCAGCCAAGUCGCGUGAGGGAAGACGGCCCUACGGGUUGUAAACCUCUUUUGCCGGGGAGCAAGCCUGAACACGUGUGCCCAGGCGGAGAGUACCCGGAGAAAAAGCAUCGGCUAACUCCGUGCCAGCAGCCGCGGUAAUACGGAGGAUGCGAGCGUUAUCCGGAUUUAUUGGGUUUAAAGGGUGCGCAGGCGGGCUGUUAAGCCGGCGGUAAAAAUUCAGGGCUCAACCCUGUCGAGCCGUCGGAACUGGCAGUCUUGAGUGGGCGAGAAGUAUGCGGAAUGCGUGGUGUAGCGGUGAAAUGCAUAGAUAUCACGCAGAACGCCGAUUGCGAAGGCAGCAUACCGGCGCCCAACUGACGCUGAGGCACGAAAGCGUGGGGAUCGAACAGGAUUAGAUACCCUGGUAGUCCACGCAGUAAACGAUGAGCGCUAACUGUCCGGAGCGAGCGAGCUCUGGGUG